rnacentral:rRNA from 1 species
UACGUAGGGGGCUAGCGUUGUCCGGAAUCAUUGGGCGUAAAGAGCGUGUAGGCGGCCCGGUAAGUCCGCUGUGAAAGUCGGGGGCUCAACCCUCGAAUGCCGGUGGAUACUGUCGGGCUAGAGUGCGGAAGAGGCGAGUGGAAUUCCUGGAGUAGCGGUGAAAUGCGCAGAUAUCAGGAGGAACACCGAUUGCGAAGGCAGCUCGCUGGGACGUCACUGACGCUGAGACGCGAAAGCGUGGGGAGCAAACAGG